CCUACGGGUGGCAGCAGUCGAGAAUCAUUCACAAUGGGGGAAACCCUGAUGGUGCGACGCCGCGUGGGGGAAUGAAGGUCUUCGGAUUGUAAACCCCUGUCAUGUGGGAGCAAAUUAAAAAGAUAGUACCACAAGAGGAAGAGACGGCUAACUCCGUGCCAGCAGCCGCGGUAAUACAGAGGUCUCAAGCGUUGUUCGGAAUCACUGGGCGUAAGGCGUGCGUAGGCUGUUUCGUAAGUCGUGUGUGAAAGGCGCGGGCUCAACCCGCGGACGGCACAUGAUACUGCGAGACUAGAGUAAUGGAGGGGGAACCGGAAUUCUCGGUGUAGCAGUGAAAUGCGUAGAUAGCGAGAGGAACACUCGUGGCGAAGGCGGGUUCCUGGACAUUAACUGACGCUGAGGCACGAAGGCCAGGGGAGCGAAAGGGAUUAGAUACCCCGGUAGUC
rnacentral:rRNA from 1 species